GGAAGGAUCAUUACCACGUAUCCACGUUAUCAACCAUUGGUCACCGUUCCACACGCCCUCUGCUCGUGCAUGAGUUGGAUUCCGUUUGUGAGAUAUUGAGUGGGGUUUGUUCUCGAGCAUUCCUAGUCUCACUUACUUAUAUGGCUUCGGCCUGACAACUGCAGCACUUGGAGAGCACCCUUCUUCUGACCUACGUCUCCAUUCAAGACCUGGGAAAGGGGAAACCAACAUUAACCAUUUACACCAUUUUUUGCUAGUUGACUUUAUCUGUGGUGGCUGUUGUAAUUUAUUUUACGGUAGCUUCACACGUUUAAUUAUUUGAACGUAAAAUGUACAACUCUUAGCAAUGGAUAUCUUGGUUCUCGCAACGAUGAAGAACGCAGCGAAAUGCGAUACGUAAUGCGAAUUGCAGAAUUCAGUGAAUCAUCAAAUCUUUGAACGCAAAUUGCGCUCUUGGGUAGCCCUAGGAGCACGCCUCUCUCAGUAUCGGUUCAACCACCUCUCAGCAGCGUUCUGGAUUUAUCCUCGACGUGUUGGCUGGAAAAUGAGAGUUUCAGUGUUUAUCACUGAGUCUCUUUAAAUAUAUGGAGUAAGUUCCAUCGCUUGAUCAGCUCGAAGCUUCGGCUUCGAUAGUUGCACUGCUUCGGUAGCGCUCGAGUGACAUUUAGAUACUGGCCCUUGUGGUCUCUUCUUAUGUCUCGUCUCGAGCGUCGUCAAGGCGGCGCAGCGAACGGUCCGGCGGACUCUUACGGCGCGUGGGCCUCUGCCCACACUCGAUACCGCACUCACGUGCAGCAUCUGAAUUUUGAUCUGAGAUGAAGCGAGACAACCCCCUGAAUUUAAGCAUAUUAAUAAGGGGAGGAAAAGAAACUAACAAGGAUUCCCUUAGUAACGGCGAGUGAAGCGGGAAGAGCUCAAUUUGAAAAUCGACUUCCUAAGCGGGACGUCGAGUUGUAGCCUAGAGACGUACUAUCAGCUGAAACCUGGGUAUAAGUUCUUUGGAAUGAGGCAUCAUAGAGGGUGAGAAUCCCGUAUAUGACCCAAAGCUUUCAGCGUACGAUGUAUGUUCAUCGAGUCGAGUUGUUUGGGAUUGCAGCUCUAAAUGGGUGGUAAGUUUCAUCUAAAGCUAAAUAAUGGCGAGAGACCGAUAGCGAACAAGUACCGUGAGGGAAAGAUGAAAAGAACUUUGAAAAGAGAGUUAAAAGUACUUGAAAUUGCUAAGAGGGAAGCGCUGACAACCAGUGCUAUAUGCUGUUCAUCGCCGUCAGCCCCACUGGCUCGUGUCUGUAGUUGGCAACUCUACUUGCGCGAGCGAAAGGGAGGUUGGCGGUUUAGGAUAGUGUGUGAGUCAAGAUCCAUUCGGGCGGUGGAAGAAGGCUGGCAGAAAGGUAGGAGAUCCGUCUCUGUUAUAGUCUGCUGGCUCUACCUCGGCCUGGAUGGAGGAAGGAAUAGUGCGCUGCUUGCGGCUUAGUCGUUUGCUCCUACAGCCCCAGCUGCUCUGAUAGCAAUGCUAUCUCUGUGGUAAAAGGUUGUACUGGGUAGGCUGACUCUAUGUGCUAUCACGAUCUUGUACGAAAUGGUUGUCAUCGACCCGUCUUGAAACACGGACCAAGGAGUCUAACAUCUAUGCGAGUAUUUGAGUGAUAAACUCUGAUGCGCAAUGAAAGUAAAGGUAGCUUCGGCUGCUGAGGUAGGAAUCCGGUCAAACGGAGGCACUAUCGACCGAUCAUCACUUGUGAAAGAUUUGAGUAAGAGCAUAUCUGUUGGGACCCGAAAGAUGGUGAUCUAUGCCUGAACGGGGUGAAGCCAGGGGAAACUCUGGUGGAGGCUCGUAGCGAUACUGACGUGCAAAUCGUUCGUCUGAUUUGGGUAUAGGGGCGAAAGACUAAUCGAACCAUCUAGUAGCUGGUUCCCUC
rnacentral:misc_RNA from 1 species